ACACUCCUGCGGGAGGCAGCAGUGAGGAAUAUUGGACAAUGGGUGGAAGCCUGAUCCAGCCAUCCCGCGUGCAGGAAGACGGCCCUAUGGGUUGUAAACUGCUUUUAUCUGGGGAUAAACCUACUUACGUGUAAGUAGCUGAAGGUACCAGAAGAAUAAGCACCGGCUAACUCCGUGCCAGCAGCCGCGGUAAUACGGAGGGUGCAAGCGUUAUCCGGAUUUAUUGGGUUUAAAGGGUCCGUAGGCGGACUGAUAAGUCAGUGGUGAAAUCCGACAGCUUAACUGUCGAACUGCCAUUGAUACUGUUAGUCUUGAGUAAGGUUGAAGUGGCUGGAAUAAGUAGUGUAGCGGUGAAAUGCAUAGAUAUUACUUAGAACACCAAUUGCGAAGGCAGGUCACUAAGUCUUAACUGACGCUGAUGGACGAAAGCGUGGGGAGCGAACAGGAUUAGAAACCCGAGUAGUCCCCAUGA
rnacentral:rRNA from 1 species